rnacentral:rRNA from 1 species
CCUACGGGUGGCAGCAGUGGGGAAUAUUGCACAAUGGGGGAAACCCUGAUGCAGCAACGCCGCGUGAGCGAUGAAGGCCUCCGGAUCGUAAAGCUCUGUCCUAAGGGAAGAAUACUGACGGUACCUUAGGAGGAAGCCCCGGCUAACUACGUGCCAGCAGCCGCGGUGAUACGUAGGGGGCUAGCGUUAUCCGGAAUUACUGGGCGUAAAGGGUGCGUAGGCGGCCCUUCAAGUCAGAGGUGAAAGGCUACGGCUCAAUCGUGGUAAGCGUUUGAAACUGUAGGGCUUGAGUGCAGGAGAGGGGAGUGGAACUCCCAGUGUAGCUGUGAAAUGCGUAGUUAUUGGGGGGAACACCAGUGUCUAAGGCGGGUCUCUGGACUGUAACUGACGCUGGGGCACGAAAGCGUGGGGAGCGAUCAGGAUUAGAUACCCCGGUAGAC